rnacentral:rRNA from 1 species
AGGGUGUAAACGCUGCAGACUUGGUGUUGGGGACCCUUCGGGGGUGUUCAGUGCCGGAGAGAAGUUGUUAAGUCUGCUACUUGGGGAGUACGUCCGCAAGGAUGAAACUUAAAGGAAUUGGCGGGGGAGCACCGCAACGGGAGGAGCGUGCGGUUUAAUUGGAUUCAACACCGUAAAACUCACCAGGGAAGACUGUUACAUGAAGGCCGAGAUGAAGACUCUGCUAGAUUUUCAGAGAGGAGGUGCAUGGCGUCAGUGACU